rnacentral:rRNA from 1 species
UACGUAGGGGGGCAAGCGUUUGUCCGGAUUUAUUGGGCGUAAAGAGCGUGUAGGCGGCCGUGUAGGCCCGUUGUGAAAACUCGAGGCUCAACCUCGAGACGUCGAUGGAAACCACACGGCUAGAGUCCGGAAGAGGAGAGUGGAAUUCCUGGUGUAGCGGUGAAAUGCGCAGAUAUCAGGAAGAACACCUAUGGCGAAGGCAGCUCUCUGGGACGGUACUGACGCUGAGACGCGAAAGCGUGGGGAGCGAACAGG